ACGGCUCAGUAACACGUCGGUAACCUACCCUCGGGAGGGGGAUAACCCCGGGAAACUGGGGCUAAUUCCCCAUAGGCUGAGGUACUGGAAGGUCCUCAGGCCGAAAGGGACUUAUGUCCGCCCGAGGAUGGGCCGGCGGCCGAUUAGGUAGUUGGUGGGGUAAUGGCCCACCAAGCCGAAGAUCGGUACGGGCUGUGAGAGCAGGAGCCCGGAGAUGGACACUGAGACACGGGUCCAGGCCCUACGGGGCGCAGCAGGCGCGAAACCUCCGCGAUGCGGGAAACCGCGACGGGGGGACCCCGAGUGCCGUGGCAACGCCACGGCUUUUCCGGAGUGUAAAAAGCUCCGGGAAUAAGGGCUGGGCAAGGCCGGUGGCAGCCGCCGCGGUAAUACCGGCGGCCCGAGUGGUGGCCGCUAUUAUUGGGCCUAAAGCGUCCGUAGCCGGGCCCGUAAGUCCCUGGCGAAAUCCCACGGCUCAACCGUGGGGCUUGCUGGGGAUACUGCGGGUCUUGGGACCGGGAGAGGCGGGGGGUACCCCUGGGGUAGGGGUGAAAUCCUAUAAUCCCAGGGGGACCGCCAGUGGCGAAGGCGCCCCGCUGGAACGGGUCCGACGGUGAGGGACGAAGGCCAGGGGAGCAAACCGGAUUAGAUACCCGGGUAGUCCUGGCUGUAAAGGAUGCGGGCUAGGUGUCGGGUGAGCCUCGAGCUCGCCCGGUGCCGUAGGGAAGCCGUUAAGCCCGCCGCCUGGGGAGUACGGCCGCAAGGCUGAAACUUAAAGGAAUUGGCGGGGGAG
rnacentral:rRNA from 1 species